UUGUGUAUGUAUACUUAAUUGAACUACCUUUUCACUUGGCAAUUCCCUCACUCUCCAACGCCAUUCCUCACAUUUUCUCAGCUGCUUGGAUGCCGUCACCUUCGCCAGGCGGGAGAAGCGAUGGCAGAGGACCUUGAAAGCGACCAUGUUGCGUCGCUCAAACACGGAAGAGACGCGGCCGGAAGUUAUUGAUUACCAGCUUUGAUUGGCGCCAAUCAGUCGGGACAUGCGCAGUCGGCUGCUGCGCAGGUGCCAUAUAAUUGCUCGUUAGCUUGCAACAUUAGCUUUGGGAUAAAGUGUUGUGUGUGGAACAAAAUACUAAAGCCUACUUGGUGAUGGGAGUAACAGACAUGACUGCACACAUUUCCUGUGGCAGUUUUGAGUCUUGGCCACAAGAUGUCGCUGUAAACAGUGUGACGGCGUGUCGUCACGUCAUGACAUUGCUGGAUUUAUCAGCAGAGGAGCAUGUUCGGCAGCGGACAAUCACAGAGUACUUACAAGCAGACACAGUGUGUAGAUAUAAAAGGGAGAAUGGACGCAUUUUGGCUUAAAAACUAAAUAUACAAAGGUGAAGUUAUAACACUGAAACACCCAAAGGAAGAGAUGCUUUAAAACAUGGCUAGCUAGUUAGCGGCUAAUGUCCAUCUGCAAUCUGCAGUGUUUUAGCUACUUCUAAAUCACUAAUCCUCGCCUCCAUGGUGACAAAUAAAGUCAGUGUUUUACAAGUACCAGGAGGAGGAAUAGCUAAACAUGCUUCACUACACACCAUAGGAGGAUACAACAGCUCACCGCCAUCACGAAUGGAUGGAUCUACACCUGACAUCCACUGUAAUGAUACCAAGUACAAGAGCGUAUGUAGUCGAUACUACUAUGAUUACAUCAAUAUGUUUUAUCGUCACAAAAUCUUUUUUCUUUUUUUUUAUUCAUAUUAUAUUCAUAAACUCGAGAAAUACGUCCCUGGACACAUGAGAACUUAAAUUAAGUUAAAGUUAAAGUACCAAUGAUUGUCACACACACACUAGGUGUGGUGAAAUUUGUCCUCUGCAUUUGACCCAUCCCCUUGAUCACCCCCUGGGAGGUGAGGGGAGCAGUGGGCAGCAGCGUAGCCGCGCCCGGGAAUCAUUUUUGGUGAUUUAACCCCCAAUUCCAACCCUUGAUGUUGAGUGCCAAGCAGGGAGGUAAUGUGUCCCAUUUUUAUAGUCUUUGGUAUGACCCGGCCGGGGUUUGAACUCACAACCUACCGAUCUCAGGGCGGACACUCUAACCACUAGGCCACUGGGUAGGUUUUGACCAAUUGUGUAUGACCAUUAUGACCAAUGUAUGAUCCUGUAACUACUUGGUAUCGGAUUGAUACCUAAAUUUGUGGUAUCAUCCAAAACUAAUGUUCACUAUUUUAUGUAAGGACAACAGUGUUCUUCGAUUGCAAUAAGAAACAUAUGUUUAAUGUACCCUAAGAUUUUUUUGUCAAAAUAAAGCCAAUAAUGCCAUUUUUUUGUGGUCCACUUUAUGUAGAAAAGUAUCGAAUUACAUUUUGGUACCGGUACCAUACUUGCCAACCCUCCCGUUUUUAGCGGGAGACUCCCGGUAUUCAGCGCCUCUCCCGAUAACCUCCCGGCAGAAAUUUUCUCCCGACAAACUCCCGGUUUUCAGCCGGAGCUGGAGGCCACGCCCCCUCCAGCUCAAUGCGGACCUGAGUGGAGACAGCCUGUUCUCACGUCCGCUUUCCCACAAUACAAACAGCUUGCCCGCCCAAUGACGUCAUAACUGUAGAAUGAUCGAGGGCGAGUUCUUGGUUUCUUAUGUGGGUUUAUUGUUAGGCAGUUUCAUUAACGUCCUCCCAACGCGGUAACAACACACAACAACAGCAGUCACGUUUAGUCUACCAUAAAGCAGUUCGUCUGCCGUAAACAGCAAUGUUGUGACACUCUUAAACAGGACAAUACUGCCAUCUACUGGAUAGCCUUCAGAACACUGAAAUUCAAGUAUUUCUUUUAUUUAUAUGUAUAAUAAAAAAAUAAUAAUAAAAUAUAUAUAUAUAUAUAGCUAGAAUUCACUGAAAGUCAAGUAUUUCAUACAUAUGUAUGUAUGUGUGUAUGUGUAUGUAUAUAUAUAUAU